UAGGAAUCUUCCACAAUGGACGAAAGUCUGAUGGAGCAACGCCGCGUGAGUGAAGAAGGGUUUCGGCUCGUAAAGCUCUGUUGGUAGUGAAAGAAAGAUAGAGGUAGUAACUGGCCUUUAUUUGACGGUAAUUACUUAGAAAGUCACGGCUAACUACGUGCC
rnacentral:rRNA from 1 species